GCUUUACUCGUAUAACUUCUUAUGUGUGUUAAUUAUCCCAUAUUAAUAUAAUGGGGCACUUCUACUCACUCCUCAUGUGCAUAUGGAUUAUUAUGCUUGAUGUCGCACGCUCCGGCGACGUGGUGCUGGCGCAGACUGUUAUAUGCGAUAGUAGUGAUAUGUCUUACCAAAUGGAGAGUGUUUGCUUCCCAAACACAACGCCUAUCAUGGAUUGCUGCAUUUUUGUUAUACAUGUCAUUGACAUGGCAAUUUUAAAUAAUCUGGAGUGCCUCUGCGGCUUGAAGGACGAACGUGCAUUCUUUGAUAACGGUUUAUCCUUACAGGAUAUGGUUGAUUUCUAUUCCAGUAGUACUUGCUAGGGUCAGAAUCUUAGAAAUGCCCAGAUCGUCGUCGAUGCAUGCGAAGGUAGGGAGCAACAUAGCAAGAUGCCCUCGAUGUCUCAGCAGCUGCACGAAAGCAGGGUCCGGGUUGAGGCUAGCCCCGCCGAUUCGCCAACUCCGCUGGUUUCCCCCUGAUUUGCUCUUUGGAAUAAUUGUUAGUUGGGGCUGGUGAUCAUGUACCUGAUCAGUUUUACUUGAGCAGCCAAGGUUUUUCAUUCAUGCAGUUUAGCGAUCAGUCGUUUCAUGCUAUUAUUCGGUUAUUGUAUCCUGGGCUCCGCCCAAUCUAUCUUUAAUCGUUUUGUCCUCUUAGAUUAGUGGAACCUAUCCUCUUAAUAAAGGUAGUGGUUUUCAAUCAUUAA